rnacentral:rRNA from 1 species
UCAGACGAUGCGUCAUGCAUAUCAAUAAGCGGAGGAAAAGAAACUAACAAGGAUUCCCCUAGUAACGGCGAGUGAAGCGGGAAGAGCUCAAAUUUGAAAUCUUAAAGGGUUUCCCUUUACGAAUUGUAGUUUAAAGAAGUGUUUUCUGUUGAGGUUUUGGUAAAAGUUCUUUGGAAUAGGACAUCAUAGAGGGUGAGAAUCCCGUAUUUGACCUUUACUUUCAACUUUGUGAUACACUUUCAAAGAGUCGGAUUGUUUGGGAAUGCAGUCCAAAAUGGGUGGUAAAUUUCAUCUAAAGCUAAAUAUUGGCGAGAGACCGAUAGCGAACAAGUACCGUGAGGGAAAGAUGAAAAGAACUUUGAAAAGAGAGUUAAACAGUACGUGAAAUUGUCAAAAGGGAAGCGUUUGACACCAGUGUUGUUUUUCUGAAAAUCAAUUAAAGAACUGUUUAUGCUAAGUUGUUUAGACUUUAUCAGCUAUCUGUUUAGUUUUGAGCUUUUCUUUAAUGCACUUUUCAGUUAACAAGUCAACAUCAAUUUCUUUUGCUGUAAAAAAGCUUGAGGAAGGUGGCUUGAGAUUCGUCUUAAGUGUUUAUAGCCUCUUGCCUAUGCAGUCGGAGAGAUUGAGGUCUGCAGCGUAGAUCCUUCGGGGCUAAAUGCAUUUGUGCUAAGUUAUAGCAUUUUAUAGACAACUUGUUGACUAUGAUUUGUCUUGUAACUUACUCGCUUAUGUUAUUUUACCUACGCUUAGGAUGUUGACACACGCGCGUGCUCG